GACGGAGGGUGCAAGUGUUAUCCGGAAUCACUGGGCGUAAAGCGUCUGUAGGUGGUUUAAAAAGUCCACUGUUAAAGGUUGAAGCUUAACUUCAAAAAUGCCGUGGAAACUUUUAAACUUGAGUAUGAUAGGGGUAGAGGGAAUUUCCAGUGGAGCGGUGAAAUGCGUAGAUAUUGGAAAGACCACCGAUGGCGAAGGCACUCUACUGGGCCAUUACUGACACUGAGAGACGAAAGCUAGGGGAGCGAAUGGG
rnacentral:rRNA from 1 species